GUGGGGAAUUUUGGACAAUGGGCGCAAGCCUGAUCCAGCAAUGCCGCGUGCAGGAAGAAGGCCUUCGGGUUGUAAACUGCUUUUGUACGGAACGAAAAGGCUCUGGUUAAUACCUGGGGCUCAUGACGGUACCGUAAGAAUAAGCACCGGCUAACUACGUGCCAGCAGCCGCGGUAAUACGUAGGGUGCAAGCGUUAAUCGGAAUUACUGGGCGUAAAGCGUGCGCAGGCGGUCUUGUAAGACAGAGGUGAAAUCCGCGGGCUCAACCUGGGAAUUGGCUUUGUGACUGGGAGGCUGGAGUGCGGCAGAGGGGGAUGGAAUUCCGCGUGUAGCAGUGAAAUGCGUAGAUAUGCGGAGGAACACCGAUGGCGAAGGCAAUCCCCUGGGCCUGCACUGACGCUCAUGCACGAAAGCGUGGGGAGCAAACAGGAUUAGAAACCCGGGUAGUCC
rnacentral:rRNA from 1 species